CCACCGGGGAUUGCUUAGUACGGCGAGUGAGCGGCAAAAGCUCAAAUUUGAAAUCUGGUACCUUCGGUGCCCGAGUUGUAAUUUGGAGAGGGCAACUUUGGGGCCGUUCCUUGUCUAUGUUCCUUGGAACAGGACGUCAUAGAGGGUGAGAAUCCCGUGUGGCGAGGAGUGCGGUUCUUUGUAAAGUGCCUUCGAAGAGUCGAGUUGUUUGGGAAUGCAGCUCUAAGUGGGUGGUAAAUUCCAUCUAAAGCUAAAUAUUGGCGAGAGACCGAUAGCGAACAAGUACAGUGAUGGAAAGAUGAAAAGAACUUUGAAAAGAGAGUGAAAAAGUACGUGAAAUUGUUGAAAGGGAAGGGCAUUUGAUCAGACAUGGUGUUUUGUGCCCUCUGCUCCUUGUGGGUAGGGGAAUCUCGCAUUUCACUGGGCCAGCAUCAGUUUUGGUGGCAGGAUAAAUCCAUAGGAAUGUAGCUUGCCUCGGUAAGUAUUAUAGCCUGUGGGAAUACUGCCAGCUGGGACUGAGGACUGCGACGUAAGUCAAGGAUGCUGGCAUAAUGGUUAUAUGCCGCCCGUCUUGAACCACCCGGACCA
rnacentral:rRNA from 1 species